rnacentral:misc_RNA from 1 species
GAUGAAGAACGUAGCGAAAUGCGAUACGUAAUGUGAAUUGCAGAAUUCAGUGAAUCAUCGACUCUUUGAACGCAUAUUGCGCUCUCUGGUAUUCCGGAGAGCAUGCUUGUUUGAGUAUCAGUAAACACCUCAACUUCCAUAUCUUUUUUGAAAUGGGAGUUGGACUUGAGUGAUCCCAACGCUUUUCCUCACCGAAAAGUGGCGGGUUACUUGAAAUGCAGGUGCAGCUGGACUUUUCUCUGAGCUAUAAGCAUAUCUAUUUAGUCUGCCUAAAAAACAGAUUAUUACCUUUGCUGCAGCUAACAUAAAGGAGAUUAGUUCUUGUGCUGACUGAUGCAGGAUUCACAAAGACAGGCUUCGGCCGACUUUGUAAACUCGAUCUCAAAUCAAGUAAGACUACCCGCUGAACUUAAGCAUAUCAAUAAGCGGAGGA